UGGAAUAGAGGCACAUCUAAAACAUGCAGAGCAGGGGGAUGUGAGGACUGGAAUUGAGAGGCACAGCUUUACUAGGAUGGCUGGGCAGCUCUGGCGUGGAGGAGAACAUUGAAGCCUUCCUUCGAUCAAGGCAUGUUAUGGAAGAAGACAUAAAUCAGAUGAAAGCUGAUAAGAUUGACAGAGGUGUCAUUUCUGUCAUGAAAGAUGAAGAAUUUGCCAGAUAUGUCCCUUCAUAUGGUGACUGCUUGGCUGUUCUGUCAUUUUGUCGACAGAGGGAAGCAAAUUUCGACAAGGAAGGCAUUUUAAAUAGAAUUACACAAACAAUUGAGACAAGGCUGAUGACAAGGAAAAGACAUGUUGAAGUACCCCAGCAAACAACUGUGAGAAAUUCUGGCUUGUUGGCAAGACCUAAAAACAACAAUGCAGUAAAAUCCAAACGCAGAGUUGAAGUGGGAUGGCUGCAUUUUCAAAGCGGGGAUUUUCAUCAAGUGAGGUCCAAAUUUGGAGGUGGAAUCAGACAUCUUGCACUCGAGAAAAACACCACUGUGUCAGAAGUCAUGACCAUUGCAAAAGAGUUGUUUUUUUCCUUGUGGAUUAUCAUCAAAGGGAUCCAUUAUGGACUUUACACUUAGCAUGUGCGACUUCAAAAGACAAACUGUAUCUCUGGACAGUGCUCUUACAG